AUUGAACGCUGGCGGCAUGCCUAACACAUGCAAGUCGAACGGCAGCAUGAGGUGUAGCAACACACCUUGAUGGCGAGUGGCGGACGGGUGAGGAAUGCAUCGGAAUUUGCCCAGUCGUGGGGGAUAACCCGGGGAAACCCGGACUAAUACCGCAUACGACCGAGAGGUGAAAGCGGGGGACCGUAAGGCCUCGCGCGAUUGGAUGAGCCGAUGCCGGAUUAGCUAGUUGGCGGGGUAAAAGCCCACCAAGGCGACGAUCCGUAGCUGGUCUGAGAGGAUGAUCAGCCACACUGGGACUGAGACACGGCCCAGACUCCUACGGGAGGCAGCAGUGGGGAAUAUUGGACAAUGGGGGCAACCCUGAUCCAGCAAUGCCGCGUGUGUGAAGAAGGCCU
rnacentral:rRNA from 1 species